rnacentral:rRNA from 1 species
ACGCUCGACACCUACGGGAGGCUGCAGUGGGGAAUAUUGCACAAUGGGGGAAACCCGUGAUGCAGCGACGCCGCGUGGAGGAAGAAGGUCUUCGGAUUGUAAACUCCUGUUGUUGGGAAAAGAGGAUGGUACCCAACAAGGAAGUGACGGCUAACUACGUGCCGGCAGCCGCGGUAAUCUGAGGCGGGCGUGGCAAGGC